AUACUUAUAUUUUAAUAAAAAUAUUGAUUUUGUAAAUCAAUGUUAAGAUAUAUAAUCUUUAAGUAUG
rnacentral:tRNA from 1 species